GACGAACGCUGGCGGCAUGCCUAAUACAUGCAAGUCGAGCGAACAGAUGAGGUGCUUGCACUUCUGACGUUAGCGGCGAACGGGUGAGUAACACGUAAGGAAUCUACCUAUAAGCGGGGGAUAACAUUCGGAAACGGGUGCCAAUACCGCAUAAUAUCUUCUUCCGCAUGGAAGCAGAUUGAAAGACGGCUCUGCUGUCACUUCUAGAUGACCUUGCGGUGCAUUAGUUAGUUGGUGGGGUAACGGCCUACCAAGACGAUGAUGCAUAGCCGACCUGAGAGGGUGAUCGGCCACAUUGGGACUGAGACACGGCCCAAACUCCUACGGGAGGCAGCAGUAGGGAAUCUUCCGCAAUGGGCGAAAGCCUGACGGAGCAAUGCCGCGUGAGUGAAGAAGGCCUUCGGGUCGUAAAACUCUGUUAUAAGAGAAGAACAAAUUGUAGAGUAACUGCUACAGUCUUGACGGUAUCUUAUCAGAAAGCCACGGCUAACUACGUGCCAGCCGCCGCGGUAA
rnacentral:rRNA from 1 species